UACAGAGGUCCCAAGCGUUGUUCGGAUUCACUGGGCGUAAAGGGUGCGUAGGUGGUAGGGUAAGUUUGAUGUGAAAUCUCCGGGCUUAACCCGGAAACUGCAUUGAAUACUAUCUUACUCGAGGUUUGGAGGGGGGACUGGAAUUCUCGGUGUAGCAGUGAAAUGCGUAGAUAUCGAGAGGAACACCAGUGGCGAAGGCGAGUCCCUGGACAACGCCUGACACUGAGGCACGAAAGCUAGGGGAGCAAACAGG
rnacentral:rRNA from 1 species